rnacentral:rRNA from 1 species
CCUACGGGUGGCAGCAGUGGGGAAUAUUGCACAAUGGGGGAAACCCUGAUGCAGCGACGCCGCGUGAGUGAAGAAGUAUCUCGGUACGUAAAGCUCUAUCAGCCGGGAAGAAAAUGACGGUACCUGACUAAGAAGCCCCGGCUAACUACGUGCCACCAGCCGCGGUAAUACGUAGGGGGCAAGCGUUAUCCGGAUUUACUGGGUGUAAAGGGAGCGUAGACGGCAGGACAAGUCUGGAGUGAAAUCCCGGGGCUUAACCCCGGAACUGCUUUGGAAACUGUGCGGCUGGAGUGCAGGAGGGGUAAGCGGAAUGCGUGGUGUAGCGGUGAAAUGCGUAGAUAUUAGGAGGAACACCGAUGGCGAAGGCGGCUUACUGGACUGUAACUGACGUUGAGGCUCGAAAGCGUGGGGAGCAAACAGGAUUAGAUACCCUUGUAGUC